UUCAAACGGCCUCAGAUCAGGUAGGACUACCCGCUGAACUUAAGCAUAUCAAUAAGCGGAGGAAAAGAAACUAACAAGGAUUCCCCUAGUAACGGCGAGUGAAGAGGGAAGAGCCCAAGAUUGAAAGCUGGCGUCUUCGGCGUCCGCAUUGUAAUCUCAAGAAGCAUUUUCCGCUUCGGACCAAGCCUAAGUCCCUUGGAAAAGGGCAUCGUAGAGGGUGAGAAUCCCGUACAUGGCUUGGAGCGCCCGAGGCUUUGUGAUAUGCAUUCUAAGAGUCGAGUUGUUUGGGAAUGCAGCUCAAAAUGGGUGGUAAAUGCCAUCUAAGGCUAAAUAUUGGGGAGAGACCGAUAGCGAACAAGUACCGUGAGGGAAAGAUGAAAAGAACUUUGAAAAGAGAGUUAAACAGUACGUGAAAUUGCCAAAAGGGAAGGGUAGGAGGUCAGAGAUGCGGCGUGGGAUUCAGCCUUGCUUUUGCUUGGUGUUUUUCCCUCAUUGCAGGCCAACGUCGGUUUUGGGCACUGGAGAAGGGUGAGAGGAAUGUGGCACUCUUCGGGGUGUGUUAUAGCCUCCCACUGGAUACAGCGACCGGGACCGAGGAACGCAGCGUACUCGAAAGAGCGGGCCUUCGGGCACCUUUACGCUUAGGGCGUUGGCAUAAUGGCCCUCUACCACCCGUCUUGAAACACGGACC
rnacentral:rRNA from 1 species